rnacentral:rRNA from 1 species
UAUAACUUUCAGCAACGGAUCUCUUGGCUCUCGCAUCGAUGAAGAACGCAGCGAAUUGCGAUAUGUAAUGUGAAUUGCAGAUUUUCAGUGAAUCAUCGAAUCUUUGAACGCACCUUGCGCUCCUUGGUAUUCCGAGGAGCAUGCCUGUUUGAGUGUC